rnacentral:sRNA from 3 species
ACACCCGUAUUAUUGCUGUUAUGGGUUUGAACCGAGCUUAGCCUUGUUCAUUUUUUUACACAAUAGCUCUGUAAAAAAUUGAACACACCCCACUGAGCACCUUGGUAGAUCGGCGUUUGGACCACCCAUAACGGCCCUGAAACGCCCCAAAAAUGGCCAUCACGCCCCACAAGAGGGCAU